rnacentral:rRNA from 1 species
UGCAUUCAGUUGCCAUCGGGUAAUGCCGGGCACUCUGGAAGGACUGCCAUCGACAAGAUGGAGGAAGGUGGGGAUGACGUCAAGUCAUCAUGGCCCUUAUGUCCAGGGCGACACACGUGCUACAAUGGCCGGCACAACGGGAAGCGAGUUCGCGAGGACGAGCGGAUCCCUCAAAGCCGGUCGCAGUUCGGAUUGAAGUCUGCAACUCGACUUCAUGAAGCUGGAAUCGCUAGUAAUCGUGGAUCAGCCAAGCCGCGGUGAAUACGUUCCCGGGCCUU